AUGCCUCAGAUGUAAAGUUAUUCGCUGUCAAAGUGACGUCAAGGGUGGUCGGCUGGACGUUCUGUGAUUCUCCAGACCACACAGAUGGCCAGUCCCCCCCUGGAGAUAAAUGAAUGUGAACACAUGCAUGAGAGGGAGAGAGAAAGAGACAUGAAUGCAACGUAAUACCCGCGCCACGUGGUCCACAGAUGCGUCUUCGGAUAGGGAGCGCUACGGAUAACAUUGACGAAUCACCGACAAUAAAAAACGACAAAUGGUCACGUCGUAUGGAUAGUUCACAUGUUUUAACACAAAAGAUAUCCGAGGUGGGUCCUAUUUAUCUAAGCGAAUCCAAUCUGAUGCCGCUGGUGGGGAAACCCCGCCCCACACGUGACAGACCAUAAAAUCUUUCGCACUAAGUUCACCGGUCACCGGAUGGUCACGCACACACUGGAUUCAUCUUUCACCUAAAGCACAGUUGUCACCGGAUGGUCACGUACCGGAGGUUUGGUGUCUAUUUUACAAAAAGUUUGUCUUUGAGCUUCUCAGAGAAGAAUCCGUCAUUUCCAGCAGUCUUAAGCAUCAGUCUCACAUAUCCACAAUCAGAGAUCUUCAGCAUUGACUGGAUACUCUUCUUACAGUGACUCAGCAAGACAGGAAAAGUAGCAGAAGAGGUCUGUGUCACUGGAUUGCUUUUGGAGGGGCUCAUGUUACUGAAGAAAUCACUGACCGAUCCAUACAGCACUGUGGUCAUUGAAGGGUUUGUGUGCUCCAUAGCUGUGCCGUUGACCUGUCUUAUGAUGUACACUGUUUAAGAAGCUUGAUUUUGUUUUACUUGGUCAAGACCACAAAACAAAAAUGUUUUGCACAGCAUGGACAAAAAAUAUGGAACAUAAAAUCAAAAAUGUAUAUUAAAUGUUGUUUGCCUUUUUAAAUUAAAUAUUUUGUAUAUGUAUGUCUUUCAUACAUUUAUCAUCUCAGGCUGAACAUCUCUGAACCGUCUGCGUUCACAUUAUUGAUUCUGAUCAGUGGGUUCAGGUGGAGCCGUCAGUCUGUACAGAUGAAGGGUCAGAGUUCAGGAUCAGCACUCCGGCGGGUCGAUUCGAGUGCAGCAGGACCAGAAUGCGAUGGGUCUGUGCUGGUGAUGUCACACUCCAGUACCGUGCAGUGGAUGGAGGUUUCCUUCGUGAAGAGCUGGAGAAACUUCAGUAUGAGAUUAAUGUGACCGUAAUCUCAGGAAAACAGGAGGAGGCCCAUCUGCCUCAUUACGCCUGUUUAGCAGAAUCAGACCCCUCUGAUAUAAAGGUCCUCAGUGUUGAAGAAGAGGGAAUAUCCUUGGAAUCAGUGGAGUUGACUCGUUUUCACACUAAAAUACUCCAACCUUAUUAGCGAUGGCUAACCGUAGCUGCGUUUGAUAAUUAGCUAGCUAUAACUUAAGGUUAUCCAUUUUAUUAUAUAGGGCUGUGCAUGUCUUUAC